rnacentral:rRNA from 1 species
AGGAUUCCCUUAGUAACUGCGAGUGAAGAGGGAAAAGCUCAAAUUUAAAAUCUGGCAGUGUUUCACUGUCCGAGUUGUAACCUAGAGAAGUGUAACCUGCGCUGGACCGUGUAUAAGUCUCCUGGAAUGGAGCAUCACUGAGGGUGAGAAUCCCGUCUUUGACACGGAUCACCAGUGCAUUGUGGUUGUGCUCUCAACGAGUCGAGUUGUUUGGGAAUGCAGCUCUAAAUGGGUGGUAAAUUCCAUCUAAAGCUAAAUAUUGGCGAGAGACCGAUAGCGAACAAGUACCGUGAGGGAAAGAUGAAAAGAACUUUGGAAAGAGAGUUAAACAGUAUGUGAAAUUGUUGAAAGGGAAACGUUUGAAGUCAGUCGCGUUGGUUGGGGAUCAGCCUGACAUUGUUGGGUGUACUUCCUGGUCGACGGGCCAACAUCAGUUUUGAUUGCCAGAAAAAGGCCAAAGGAAUGUGGCACCUUUGGGUGUGUUAUAGCCCUUGGUCGUAUAUGGUGGUUGGGACUGAGGAAAGCAGCGUGCCGAAAGGCCGGGUUUCGACCACGUUCACGCUGAGGAUGUUGGCAUAAUGGCUUUAAGCGACCCGUCUUGAAACACGGACCAAGGAGUCUAACAUGCAUGCGAGUGUUUGGGUGGAAAACCCUUACGCGUAAUGAAAGUGAAAGUUGAGAUCCCUGUCGUGGGGAGCAUCGACGCCCGGACCAGAACUUUUGGGACGGAUCUGCGGUAGAGCACGUAUGUUGGGACCCGAAAGAUGGUGAACUAUGCCUGAAUAGGGUGAAGCCAGAGGAAACUCUGGUGGAGGCUCGUAGCGAUUCUGACGUGCAAAUCGAUCGUCAAAUUUGGGUAUAGGGGCGAAAGACUAAUCGAAC